GACGAACGCUGGCGGCGUGCUUAACACAUGCAAGUCGAACGGUGAAGGGAUCAGCUUGCUGGUUCUGGUUGAGACGCGAACGUGUGAGUAACACGUGAUUAACCCUCCCCCUUCUUCUGGAUAACCGCAUGAAAUUGUUGCUAAUACGGGAUAUUCUGCGCCUGCUGCAUGGUGGGUGUGUGUAAGAUAUUGUUUCGGUGGUGCAUGGGCUCGCGGCCUAUCAGCUUGUUGGUGGGGUGAUGGCCUACCAAGGCGGUGACGGGUAGCCGGACUGAGAGGGUGGCCGGUCACACUGGGACUGAGACACGGCCCAGACUACUACGGGAGGCAGCAGUGGGGAAUAUUGCACAAUGGGCGCGAGCCUGAUGCAGCGACGCCGCGUGAAGGAAGGAGGCCUUCGGGUUGUGAACCUCUUUCGGCAGUGGAGCAGGCCUGUCCCUUGUGGGUGGGUUGACGGUAGCUGGAUAAGAAGCACCGGCUAACUACGUG
rnacentral:rRNA from 1 species